rnacentral:rRNA from 1 species
UACAGAGGGUGCGAGCGUUGUCCGGAAUCACUGGGCGUAAAGCGCACGUAGGCGGAUGUGUCAGUCAGGGGUGAAAUCCCGGGGCUCAACCUCGGAACUGCCUUUGAUACAGCACGUCUCGAGUCCGGAAGAGGUGGGUGGAAUUCCUAGUGUAGAGGUGAAAUUCGUAGAUAUUAGGAAGAACACCGGUGGCGAAGGCGGCCCACUGGUCCGGUACUGACGCUGAGGUGCGAAAGCGUGGGGAGCGAACAGG